GACGAACGCUGGCGGCGUGCUUAACACAUGCAAGUCGAACGGAAAGGCCCUGCUUUUGUGGGGUGCUCGAGUGGCGAACGGGUGAGUAACACGUGUGUAACCUGCCCUUGACUUUGGGAUAACUUCAGGAAACUGGGGCUAAUACCGGAUAGGAGCUCCUGCUGCAUGGUGGGGGUUGGAAAGUUUCGGCGGUUGGGGAUGGACUCGCGGCUUAGCAGCUUGUUGGUGGGGUAGGGGUAUACCAAGGCUUUGACGGGUAGCCGGCCUGAGAGGGUGACCGGCCACAAUGCGACUGCGGUACGGCGCAGACGCCAAUGGGAGGCAGCAGGGGGAAACAUGACACAAUGGGCGGGAGCCUGAUGCAGAAACGCUGGGUUCGGGAUGACGGCCUUCGGGUUGAAAACCGCUUUGGCCUGUGACGAAGCGGGAGUGACGGUAAUGGGUAAAGAAGCACCGGCUAACUACGUG
rnacentral:rRNA from 1 species